rnacentral:misc_RNA from 1 species
CAGAGUUCAUGCCCUUUGGGUAGACCUCCCACCCUUGUGUUAAUAUUACCCUUGUUGCUUUGGCGGGACGCACGCUGUGCCCUGGGCCCUCGGGCCUUGGAGCGCCCGCCAGAGAAAACCCAAACCCUUUAUGUUAGUGUCGUCUGAGUACUAUAUCAAUAGUUA